ensembl:lncRNA
UCAGUGCCAACGGCUGUCUGGAGACUGAGCGUUCGUUUUCUGCCGUUACAGUUGCUAACCUAGCUAACCUAGCUAACCCAACGUUAGCCACCAGACUCCACUGACAAAACAGUAAUUUAACCUCUCAGAAUCCAGGAGCUGCGUCGAUCUAUGCUCCAAAGCUUCCCUCUGUGUCAGUGAGUCCUUCUGCUGAGAUAGUGGAGGGCAGUUCAGUGACUCUGACCGGUAGCAGUGAUGCUAACCCAGCAGCUACUUGUACCUGGUACAAGAGCAAUGGAGAUGGAGUGACUUACAGCUCUACUGAGAUCUGUGCCUUAAAAGGAUCAACAGUGGACAUUAGCUGCAGCUACAGAUACCCAUCCUCUGUAAAGAGAGCUGAGAACAGAUUUUGGUUCAGGACAGUGCAGAAUGAGAAUUAUGUGGAUCUGAAAAAUGAAGCGAGGUAUUUAAGUUGUGUGCAGUAUAACUGUGGUAACAACGACUGCACUCUGAGAAUCACAGACCUGAGAGAGAGCGACUCGGCUGAACAGAUGAAACACACACUGUCAUUUGUAGAACAUUAUUUGUUCAAACUAAGAAAUGGUAAGAAAAGAGUGUCUAUUCCACUUCUCAAAAUGUACAUCAGCUUUCACAGUGAAUGAUGAAAUUGAUAUUCAACAAAGUCUUUGCUGAGAUUAAAAUCUUUACUGACUGUUCUUUUGUUUUUGCUGCUUGCAUUUAACCCAUCACUAUUAUUCAGUAACAUUUAUUGGUAAUUCCAAAUGUAUGAGGAUUGCCCAGUGAUAUUUUAAUAUUUAAAUCUAUCUAAUCUAUUUUAACUGAAAUUGUAUUUUGGUGCAUGUGUUGCUAAUAUAUUUUAAUUACUGUGUGCAUGGUACUUAGCCUUGUUAAAAUCACAUAUUAAAUUAUACAACUUUUUUGCAGAAUCAGUUUUUGUUGGAUAUUUUUCCUUCUGGUAAAAAUCUUUAUUUUGGGGAAUUGAAGCUUUUAAGUGUCAGUUUAAAGUGGAGCAGUUCUCACCAAGAAAGUUGUGUAAAAGCUGAAUUGAUGCACUCAUUGACUCUAUUUCAGCAGCUGUUAUGUGAUUUUGCCUGGUUUAUCACUGUAAUAUUUUAUAUCUUGUAAUGUAACCUACGAUUCAUGUUGUGUUUUGUAUUGUUUUUAUAUGGUGCAACUACUUUUUGAUGUUCAAUACAGUCAAUUUGAAACCAUCUUUGUCUUUUUUUCUUCAAUCUGCAAUAGGUUGGUAGUGGAAAAGGACUGACUGUAUGUUAUUUAGGUUUUAA